UACGUAGGGUGCGAGCGUUGUCCGGAUUCAUUGGGCGUAAAGAGCUCGUAGGCGGCUGCUCAAGUCGAAUGUGAAAACUCGAGGCUCAACCUCGAGCCUGCAUUCGAUACUGGGCGGCUAGAGUCUGGUAGGGGGAUCUGGAAUUCCUGGUGUAGCGGUGGAAUGCGCAGAUAUCAGGAGGAACACCGGUGGCGAAGGCGGGAUCCUGGGCCAGUACUGACGCUGAGGAGCGAAAGCAUGGGUAGCGAACAGG
rnacentral:rRNA from 1 species